UUGAGAUACCAGCUCUUUUUUUCUCUUCUGUUUUUAGCAGAAAUUCCUUCACAGCAGCUUGUUGGAAAUAGCUGCUGUGUGGAGGGGAUUUUGCAGCCAUGUUUGCUUUAAUGCUGGCAAACAGCUAACACUGUCUUCCUGAGACACAGAGGCAGAAGAGACAGACACAGUCCCAGAGCAGAGAUGAGUCAGGGCACAAGGAACAGGUCUGUGUGCCAGUUGUAGUAAAGAGGAAACCAGAUUCACAUAGAGGAAAGAAGAGGCAAGCGGGAAGAUGCCAAUAAAGGCAGAGAAGACAGAAAAUGGAGACAGAAAGAAAAGUCUGCACAUACUCAAGAGGCUCCACUGCUUCUCUGUGAUACUAGUGCCUCACUGGACCCAUGAGGAGUUUUGCAAUAUACAUAAUAAAAAAAUGGUGGUAGGACAUACAGCGAGAAGAGCAAUUAGGGACAACAAUGAGAAAAAAUUUACAGUAAUAAUUGUGCCUCAUUAGAGGUAUGAUAAUAAACAAUGAUAUGUAUUU